rnacentral:rRNA from 1 species
GUGGGGAAUAUUGGACAAUGGGGGCAACCCUGAUCCAGCCAUGCCGCGUGUGUGAAGAAGGCUUUCGGGUUGUAAAGCACUUUCAGUGAGGAGGAAAACCUUAUGGUUAAUAGCCAUGAGGCUUGACGUUACUCACAGAAGAAGCACCGGCUAACUCCGUGCCAGCAGCCGCGGUAAUACGGAGGGUGCAAGCGUUAAUCGGAAUUACUGGGCGUAAAGCGCGCGUAGGUGGUUUGAUAAGCGAGAUGUGAAAGCCCCGGGCUUAACCUGGGAACGGCAUUUCGAACUGUCAGGCUAGAGUGUGGUAGAGGGUAGUGGAAUUUCCUGUGUAGCGGUGAAAUGCGUAGAUAUAGGAAGGAACACCAGUGGCGAAGGCGGCUACCUGGACCAACACUGACACUGAGGUGCGAAAGCGUGGGGAGCAAACAGG